rnacentral:rRNA from 1 species
UGGGGAUGACGUCAAGUCAUCAUGGCCCUUACGCCUAGGGCUACACACGUACUACAAUGGUGGGUACAAAGGGCAGCGAAACCGCGAGGUCGAGCGAAUCUCAAAAAACCCAUCAUAGUCCGGAUUGCAGUCUGCAACUCGACUGCAUGAAGUUGGAAUCGCUAGUAAUCCCGGAUCAGCAUGCCGGGGUGAAUACGUUCCCGGGCCUU